UGUUUGGGACGGUAUAAAUUUAGGCGAACUCAAUUGUCAGUUGGCGCCGCGACUAAAAAACAAACACAAAUUGCACAACACAAGUCGGAAAAUUAAAAUAAAUAUCGCUUUAAAAUGUAUUAUAUUUUCAAUUAGAACGCUUAACCGUCAGAUGACUUACACACCCGACAUCGGUUGUACAAAGUACACUCAAGUAGCCAGCCAAUAGUUAACACUUUACCUGAUCCCAGUGGAACCGCCAUGAUUGGUUCUUCAGUUUGAACUACCGUCGGUUUAACGGUUACUCGUUCCGUUGUGGUGUGCAGUUUGGUGUCUACCUUCUGUUUCGAUCGGCGGCGAAAAGUUGUUGGCCACCAAAACGGGUGGUUCGUCGACAUCCGAAACGUUGUAAAUGCGUUCCACCGGUAAAUAAGUGUCCAGUAUUGUGGGUACAGUUGGUUCCCGGGGCUCAUCCACUACAGCAUCUGCUGCGACGAAAGGUAUAAUCCUGUUCAAACAAAAGCACUUAUGUAGCAAAAACCAGAAACUACCGUUUGGAUGUACUUAUUGCCGGAACAAGUUUUGUACAACAAAAAAAAAAAAAAAAAUACAAGCCGAAUUAUAAUUUACAUGUAUAUAAAAAUGAAUUUCCGUCAUACCGUCGUUAUACUCUGUCCCCCAUAAAAAUUGUUAAGAGGUCGUCGCACCGCCUAUUUUUAAGGAGUAAAGUAUAGGCAAUUUUUCACAAAAUCUUAAUUUAAAGGUUAAACUGUGAUGUGUUAUUAUUAGUUCAAUAAUUAGGACUCUAUUUUGGUAGUUAAUUUAUUUUUCGGACUAUCACAGCAUCCUUAAAAGCGAUUUAAAAAUGUUUUUUUAUCUCUACAUGUUUAAGCAGACUGAAAAUAACUCGCUUAAUUUUGGUUUUAGAGUAAAAGCACCCAUUAUAAAAUUAAAAUUGAACAAUAUUCCGGAGGGCAAGACGGUGCGUUUUUUUUCAUUAUUCCAAGUAUAACGCUCAAUACAUAGUUUAGAAAUAACGACUAUUUGGACAUUUUUAAAUGACUGUAACUUUUCAAAAAAUGAAUUUAAAACAAAAAAAAAACGCACCGUUAUGCCCUACGGAAUAUUGUUUUGUUUUAAUUUUAUAAUGGGUGCUUUUACUCUAAAACCAAAAUCAAGCGAGUUAUUUUCAGUUUGCUUAAACGUGUUUUUACCACUGAAAAUCACCGGUGCGACGCACUCUUAAUUAAAACGUCUACCCGGUUCUUGUUUGUUCUCAUCAUCUCUCCCCACACUACUUAUGCAUAUUUUUUUCUAUCGAUUUAUUUUUGUAACUUUUUAAAAAAAAGUAUAUUAUUCCAAGAUCAAUAUGAAAUUAUUUACUUGAGAUUAGGUAAAGACGGCGGCAACGUCGGUUCGUCGUAAUCGAAUUCAAACGCGUUGGACUUUUCGGUAAUGUUCAAACCGUCGUCUCCGGUCAUCGAGCUUACACCGUGUCUGGACUCUGCCGGAUCGAUUGGUGAUAAGUUAACCAACGGAUCUCUUACAUUAUCCGCCGCCGGUUCAGUGACGAGAACGGCCUCGGUUUGAAUCUCAACGCCGGGUAUUUCCUGUAAAUACACGGUUAUGUUAUUUAAAUUGCAUACACUACGUGCUUCACGGCGCAAAAUACCAUUAAUUAUUCUCGAACUACAAUAUCAUCUCGGUUAUUUUUAUUUAAACUAGUAUAAUCGUUUAAAAUUAUUACUCGUACAAAGUUAAAGCAAUCGACAAUGAUAAUUUAGAGAAUUAAAAAGUCGGCACGGUAAAGAGACAGUGUAGUCGGUGUAUGUAACAUGACACAACCGAGACUCUAAUAAUAUCGUAUUUAAUUUGUGUUUCGAGUAUUAGGGGUAGAACGACCAUUAUGUGGUUGAACGUCUGCAUCAAUCACGAGUGUGCAGUUAUUUUGUAAGCUAAAUGAAUUACCGUGGAAGGAGAAGACGUCGGUGGCGAAUAAGUCGCCGUAGGCGUCGUCGGUGUGGUCGACGAGGUGUCGUUCAAGAGGACCGCGGUCGUGUCGGGCGACGUCAGUACCGUUGUGAUGUUGAUGUUCGAUUCUGAAAGCAAAACGGGCCGGACAAUUGAUAAUUAUUCAGCGUUGCGCCAAAGUGUUGUGUAGAAGGCGAAAUUGUUAUUUUAACAACGAGAUAAUAUUUCGAACGCGUGGACGGUGAUGGAUUCUCGGGAACAGCAAGAGUCAGUGACCCUGCGGCGGUAUAGUUGUAGCUGGUCGGGCAACAGUGUCCUUCCGUGUAGACCGGUCCGCAAUUGGGCGAAAUUUGGGUGCGGAUUGCCGGACAUAUCACCUUGUCACACCGUACUUGCCCGUUGAUGCAGAAACAAGUUUCGCACGACGACCUGGCCACGCCGAUCACGGGUUCGCCCAGCGAUAUCAGCCGACCGUUGAUGCGACAAUCUGAAAACGACCGCCAAAUCCAAUAAUACAACAACUUGAUGGCCGUACAGCCUGGAAUGACCAUGAAGCACUUGGGUCGAACGCAUUGUUGCUGUCCCUUGAUGCAGUAACAGUAUUCGCAUAGACUUGAGCUGUCCAUGGCCGAACCUUCGGCGUAUACUGUACCGUUAAUCGCGCAACCUUAUGUACGGAGAAAAUAACAUUGUACUCGUCAGUGGAUGUUUAAGAAUAUAAAUUGAAAGAAAAAAAAAAAUGACCUCUUAAAUACCUCUGGGUAAACCACCGUCAGACACCCCGACUGCAGAGUUUUCCAUCCUUCCAGGUCCUUUACGAGAUUCGAUUGAAAACAGUUUCGUGUGAACACCUCCAAACAGGUCUACAAUAAUGUAAAAACGUUGAAAUUUUAUGAUUUGCAGAGCUGUCACGAUUUAUUAGCUACUACUACUACUGCUACUACUACUUAAAUGUUAACUAAUUAAAAAAAUAUAUAUAUAUAUAUGAAACGAUUACCCCCGGCUGAGUCUGCAUAAUAUUGCCUAACUCUUGUGUUGGUUAUUAAAAUAUAGGACCAAUGUUUAAAUAAAUAGAAUGCAAACGGAUUUAUUUUUUUAUCGUAUGAUCAGGGUCGACAUGCAAUUGUGUGAUAGUCUCCAAGCGAGUGGUCCCUUCUAAGUAUUGUAUUUCAUUUUUAGAGCUAUAUUUUGUAUUUAUUUAAAAUUGAUUGGUGUUUUUGUUUGUGAAAAUAAUAGC